UACGUAGGUGGCAAGCGUUGUCCGGAAUUAUUGGGCGUAAAGCGCGCGCAGGCGGUCCUUUAAGUCUGAUGUGAAAGCCCACGGCUCAACCGUGGAGGGUCAUUGGAAACUGGGGGACUUGAGUGCAGAAGAGGAAAGCGGAAUUCCACGUGUAGCGGUGAAAUGCGUAGAGAUGUGGAGGAACACCAGUGGCGAAGGCGGCAUUCUGGGCCGGUACUGACGCUGAGGAGCGAAAGCGUGGGGAGCAAACAGG
rnacentral:rRNA from 1 species